rnacentral:lncRNA from 1 species
AUGCAGUGGCUGAACACUGGGAAGGAACUGGUACUUGGAGUCUGGACAUCUGAAACUUGGUGGAAAGAAGAAAAACUCGAGCCAGCCUGGGAAGGACCCUACCUUGUGCUGCUAACCACCAAGACUGCUGUUCGUACAGCAAAAAAGGAUGGACUCAUCACACCCCAGGCAAGAAAGCACCACCCCCUCCAGAGUCAUGGGCCAUAGUCUCAGAGGAAAAUCCUACCAAACUAAAGCUAAGAAAAAUCUAACUCUUUUCAUCUAUUCUAUUACUCUUUCUUCUUUCUGUGCUCUAUUGCUGACCAUCUAGUUAUUAACAUAACCAAGUCAAUUUCGCCUCAAACUAUUGCAUUUAAUGCUUGCCUUUUUACACCCUGUGGGGGACUUGCCAAGUCAAAGACAGCUCUGUACUUCAGAAAAGUACUUCUGUCCCUCCUGACUCUCCUCAGGCUGGGCAUUAGUAAACUAGGACCAUUUAAUCUGAGGAGAUUUCGAUAAAGACUCCAGUACCAACCAGGAGUCUUGCCCCCUGAUGUAGAGCUUUCAUGCCAUAGUUGGUCCAACAUUCUGUGGACCACUAAAGAGCAAAGAUGGACUGCCCCAACCAGUUUUCGUAAUUUCCUAAAACCAUACAUUCAUUUUACUAGAGGAUCAUAGAAGUUAAAGACUUAAAACAAACUUUAGCAAUUAAGACAGGAUACCAAGAUGCAAAUGCCUGGUUAAAAUGGAUCAAAUAUUUCAUCUGCACGUUAAACAAAAGCAAUUGUUAUGCUUGUGCACAUGGCAGUCCAGAGGCCCAGAUUGUCCCGCUUCCACUAAGGUGGUCCUCCAGUCGACCAGGUGUGGGCUGCAUGGUAGCUCUUUUCCAGGAUUCUACAGCCUGGAGUAAUAAGUCAUGCCAGGCUCUCUCUGCUAUAUCCUGAAGUCCAGCACCCUGUGGGUCAGCCCCCGAGGGCCAUCCAGCUUCCGUCUCCCAACACUAAGUUCACUUCAUGUCUCUCACAACAGGGAGGAAACAGCAUUCCUUGGAGACCUGAAGGGAUGAGAUGAGCUUAAGAAUUUUCAAGAGCUUAUCAGUCAGCCCUUGUUCAUCCCCGAGCGGAUGUGUGGUGGUAUUGUGGUGGAGGACCUUUAUUGGGCACUCUGCUGAAUAACUGGAGUGGCACUUGUACUUUAGUCCAGUUGGCUAUCCCUUUCACCCUGGCAUUUCAUCAAUCAGAAGGAAAAAAAAUAGGACAUCAUAAAGUGAGAGAAGCCCCUUAUGGGUCUUUAGACUUUCAUGUCUGUUUAGAUGCAAUUGGAGUCCCAUGAGGAAUACCAGAUCAAUUUAAAACUUGAAAUCAAAUAGUUGCAGGAUUUAAGUCCAUAUUUUGGUGGGUGACAGUUAAUAAAAAUGUAGAUUAGAUAAACUACAUCUAUUACAACCAAUGGCAAUGAGGUUUUC